AUUACAUAUUUCACUAACCUUCUCAAAACUUCAUCAGAUGACAGUCCUAUAACAUCAUAUUACACAAUACAUAUAUUGUUUGUUCGAAAAUGUGCAUAUUUAGCGGCACAAAUCGUGGUUAUACAAUGAGAAUAGUAGCCAAGCUGCCAACAAAAUGUCGGGAGAAAUCUUGGGAGAGGCACCUAAUCUAAUCAAUAACUAAUCAUAAACUUGACAAAAAAAUACAGGUUGGACAGCAAAUGAAAGAUACAUUAGUUCUUAAUGCAACCGCUGUGUUAGAUUUUUUUAAAUGAACGUUACUACGACAUACAGCGUGCGUUAAAGCGAGACCGCACCGAAAUUCAUGGCGGAAUAGUAGUGUAACAUUUUUCAACAGAACAACGAAUUAACAUCAUAAAUAGUUCUUACUUUUUGAUGAGCUUCCAUCAGAAUCUUGUGCAAGUUGUUCUUUGUCCAGAAUCAUCGUUGCUCGGUUGUAGAUUGUCGUCUUCAACUUAGGAAUUAGCAGCAAACAUUAGCUAUGUGGCCCAGACGUGUCCAACUCUUCAUAACGCAGCACAAAGAAAAUUCAGAAAAUCGCAAUAUACUGAUAUAAACUGAUAUAACUCGGUUUAAAAUUAUUAUUUCCCUUUUUACCUGGCACACUGCCUGCCCUCCAGGACACCUACAGCAUCUGAUGUUACAGAAAGGCCAAAAAGAUCAUCAAGGACAUCAACCACCCGAGCCACGGCCUGUUCACCCCUCUAUCAUCCAGAAAGCAAGAUCAGUACAGGUGCAUCAAAGCUGGGACCGAGAGACUGAAAAACAGCUUCUAUCUCAAGGCCAUCAGACUGUUAAAUAGCCAUCACUAGCCGGCUACCACCCGGCUACUCAACCCUGCACCUUAGAGGCUGCUGCCUAAUGUACAUAGACAUGGAACACUAGUCACUUUAAUAAUGUUUACAUGCUGCUUUACUCAUCUCAUUAUGUAUAUACUUUAUUCUAUUCUACUGUAUUUAGUCAAUGCCACUCUGCCAUUGCUCGUCCUAAUAUUUCUAUAUUUCUUAAUUCCAUUCUUUUACUUUUAGAUUUGUGUAUUGUUGGGAAUUGUUAAGAUACUACUGCCCUGUUGGAGCUAGAAACACAAGCAUUUUGCUACACCCGCAAUAACAACUGCUAAAUAUGUGACCAAUAAAAUUUGAUUUAUCAGCAGGAACAUGGAGCACUCCAUGCCAGUAAGUCAUGAUAUUUUUUUCCCUAUAGAUUGCACUAAACUAUUUCAAAAGCUAAUACUGCACUCAUAUAAGAAGUGGAGAAGCCCUAUGCAUCAUACAAUAGUCUACUCCUGGAGUAACUCCCUGUCAGUGUCACACCCUGAUGUUUCACCUGUCUUUGUGAUUGUCUCCACCCCCUCUAGGUGUCACCCAUCUUCCCUGUGUAUUUAUACCGGUGUUCUCGGUUUGUCUGUUGCCAGUUUGUCAAGUCAACCAGCAUUUUUUUGCAUCAGCUCCUGCUUUUCCCCAGUCUCUUUUCUCAUCCUCCUGGUUUUGACCCUUGCCUGUCAUGACCCUGAGCCCGCUCGCCGGACCACUCUGCCGGCCCCUGAGCCUGCCUGCCAUCUUUUACCUUUGCCCCGUUUCUGGAUUACCAACCUCUGCCAGACCUGAGCCUGCCUGUCGUCCUGUACCUUUGCCCCCGUUGAAGUAACAAUGUUUAUUACAGCAACACGGUCUGCAUCUGGGUCUUACCUUUAUCCUGAUCGUCAGAGACUGUGAUUAGAGGGUUAGGGAGGAGGCCCUGGGCCAGUGGUAGGUCAGGGGUGAGGGCUCUUUCUUUCAAGCACACUCACUACCUCUUUCCGUCUCUCUCAAGGACCUCCAGAGCCUUCUGACCGACUACCUGCGAUCUCUCCAGAGCACAGAGAUAUGAGUAUGCUGGGCUAUGGAACUCUAGAGCAGCACGUACAAAAACGUGCCACCCUGUUGUCAGCUAUCCAAAGACUUCCAAUGGCCACAUUUUGUGGAUGACCAAAUGCAAUACAGUUUUGUAUAAACAAUUAAUUUUUUUAUUGUAAGAUUACAAAACUACUUUUUCAUAGCAUGUUGGUCUUCAAUUUGUACUAACUUUUGUGAUAAGUUAAACAUCAAGACAAAUCCACGUAGAGCUUGAGAUUUAAAGUGAACACAUUUUUAAUAAUCUCUCUCAUACAGGUGUCUCAACUAAAAUAUAUAUCUCAAACAAGAUUAAAGAAUGGGACAAAGUAAAUAUAAA